rnacentral:lncRNA from 1 species
AUGUCAAUGCCAAUUGAAUCAAUGUUAUUAGCUGUUAAUUCGAACUUUUUGGUAUUUUCCGUUUCUUCGGAUGAUAUGAUGGGUCAAUCAUUUGCUUCAUUGGUUUCAACGGUGGCAGCUGCGGAAUCAGCUAUUGGGUUAGCCAUUUUCGUUAUAACUUUCCGAGUCCGAGGGACUAUUGCUGUAGAAUUUAUUAAUAGCAUUCAAGGGUCGGGGCCUUUAUCGCUGGGCGAGCGCAUCCGAUUUAUUCUAAAGUCCUUUCCUAAACCACUUCCCGUUUAG